rnacentral:rRNA from 1 species
UGCCAGCCGCCGCGGUAAUACGGAGGGGGCCAGCGUUGUUCGGAAUUAUUGGGCGUAAAGGGCGCGUAGGCGGCCCGGCAAGUCAGUCGUGAAAGCCCUCGGCUUAACCGAGGAAUUGCGGCUGAAACUGUCGGGCUUGAGUCCCGGAGAGGGUAACGGAAUUCCCAGUGUAGCGGUGAAAUGCGUAGAUACUGGGAGGAACACCGGUGGCGAAGGCGGUUACCUGGACGGGUACUGACGCUGAGGCGCGAAAGCGUGGGGAGCAAACAGGAUUAGAUA